rnacentral:lncRNA from 1 species
CUUUUGGUUCUUUAGUUUUGUGGAUCCAACACUAACUGACUUUCAGAUUCUAAAACCACCAUGUGGAUUCCACAAACUCAGAAACAUUACUCCCCACAGGACUUCAUCCAGCAAGCAAUUUCCUAUUCCAGUUUUCCAUUCUGGAUGGGGCUGUCUCGGAGGAACCCCAGCUACCCAUGGCUCUGGGAGGACGGUUCUCCUUUGAUGCCCCACUUAUUUAGAGUCCGAGGCGCUGUCUCCCAGACAUACCCUUCAGGUACCUGUGCAUAUAUACAACGAGGAGCUGUUUAUGCGGAAAACUGCAUUUUAGCUGCCUUCAGUAUAUGUCAGAAGAAGGCAAACCUAAGAGCACAGUGAAUUUGAAGGCUCUGGAAGAAAAGAAAAAAGUCUUUGAGUUUUAUUCUGGAAUUUAAGCUAUUCUUUGUCACUUGGGUGCCAAACAUGAGAGCCCAGAAAACUGUCAUUUAGCUGGCUGCAGAACUCCUUUGCAGAAACUGGGGUUCCAGGAGCCUGGCACCUUUAUGUCAACAUUUUUGAUUCUAGCUACCUGUAUUAUUUCACCUAGCUUG